ACUCCUACGGGAGGCAGCAGUGGGGAAUAUUGGACAAUGGGCGCAAGCCUGAUCCAGCCAUGCCGCGUGAGUGAUGAAGGCCCUAGGGUUGUAAAGCUCUUUCACCGGUGAAGAUAAUGACGGUAACCGGAGAAGAAGCCCCGGCUAACUUCGUGCNNGCAGCCGCGGUAAU
rnacentral:rRNA from 1 species